rnacentral:rRNA from 1 species
AACGAACGCUGGCGGCGUGCCUUACACAUGCAAGUCGAACGAGAAAGGGGCUUCGGCUCCGAGUCAAGUGGCGCACGGGUGAGUAACACGUGGGUAACCUGCCUCUAAGAUUGGGAUAACUCGUCGAAAGAUGAGCUAAUACCGAAUAAGACCACAGUUCCCGCGGGAACAGGGGUCAAAGUUAGCCUCUGCUUGCAAGCUAUCACUUGGAGAUGGGCCUGCGCACCAUUAGCUAGUUGGUAGGGUAACGGCCUACCAAGGCAAAGAUGGUUAGCUGGGCUGAGAGGAUGAUCAGCCACACUGGAACUGAGACACGGGCCAGACUCCUACGGGGGGCAGCAGUGGGGAAUAUUGCGCAAUGGGCGAAAGCCUGACGCAGCAACGCCGCGUGAGGGAUGAAGGCCUUCGGGUCGUAAAGCUCUGUCGGGAGGAACGAAUGCUCCUGAGGUUAACAGCCUCGGGAGGUGACGGUACCUUCAAAGGAAGCACCGGCUAACUCUGUG